rnacentral:tRNA from 1 species
GAAGGUAUAGCUCAGGGGUGGAGUGCAUGCCUAGUGUGCAUGAAGUCCUGGGUUCAAUCCCCAGUACUUCCA